GGCAGCGUGGCGCAGUGGUUAGGGUGUUGGACUAGGACUUGGAAGACCUGGGUUCAAAUCCCCUCUCAGCCA